AGGACGAACGCUGGCGGCGUGCUUAACACAUGCAAGUCGAGCGGAAAGGCCCUUCGGGGUACUCGAGCGGCGAACGGGUGAGUAACACGUGGGCAACCUGCCCUUAGCUCUGGGAUAGCUCCGGGAAACCGGAAUUAAUACCGGAUAUGACCUAGGCCGACAUCGGCCGUGGUGGAAAGUUUUUCGGCUAGGGAUGGACUCGCGGCCUAUCAGCUAGUUGGUGGGGUAAUGGCCUACCAAGGCGACGACGGGUAGCCGGCCUGAGAGGGCGACCGGCCACACUGGGACUGAGACACGGCCCAGACUCCUACGGGAGGCAGCAGUGGGGAAUCUUGCGCAAUGGGCGAAAGCCUGACGCAGCGACGCCGCGUGGGGGAUGAAGGCCUUCGGGUUGUAAACCCCUUUCAGCAGGGACGAAGCGAAAGUGACGGUACCUGCAGAAGAAGCGCCGGCUAACUACGUGCCAGCAGCCGC
rnacentral:rRNA from 1 species